rnacentral:misc_RNA from 1 species
GAUGAAGAACGCAGCGAAAUGCGAUAAGUAAUGUGAAUUGCAGAAUUCAGUGAAUCAUCGAAUCUUUGAACGCACAUUGCGCCCCCUGGUAUUCCGGGGGGCAUGCCUGUCCGAGCGUCAUUACAACCCUCAAGCUCAGCUUGGUGUUGGGCCCCGCCGCCCCGGCGGGCCCUAAAGUCAGUGGCGGUGCCGUCCGGCUCCGAGCGUAGUAAUUCUUCUCGCUCUGGAGGUCCGGUCGUGUGCUCGCCAGCAACCCCCAAUUUUUUUCAGGUUGACCUCGGAUCAGGUAGGGAUACCCGCUGAACUUAAGCAUAUCAAAAGCGGAGA